UGAGCAAUCUGUCCUUCACAUCGGAAUAACCAUUGGAAACGAUGGCUAAUACCGAAUACGGCUUCGGACCGCAUGGUCUGAAGUGGAAAGCUCCGGCGGUGAAGGAUGAGCUCGCGGCCUAUCAGCUUGUUGGUGAGGUAAUAGCUCACCAAGGCGAUGACGGGUAGCCGGCCUGAGAGGGUGACCGGCCACACUGGGACUGAGACACGGCCCAGACCUCUACGGGA
rnacentral:rRNA from 1 species